GCUUGUUGAGUGCUAGCUAAAAGAUUGGAAUGAUACAGAGAAAAUUAGCAUGGUCUUUAUUUAAGGAUGAUGUGUAAAUUUGCAGUGAUAUAUAUAUAUAUU